rnacentral:rRNA from 1 species
CAGCCGCCGCGGUAAUACCGGCAGCACGAGUGAUGGCCGAUAUUAUUGGGCCUAAAGCGUCCGUAGCUUGCUGUGUAAGUCCAUUGGGAAAUCGACGCGCUCAACGCGUCGGCGUCCGGUGGAAACUACACAGCUUGGGGCCGAGACACUUGACGGGUACGUCCGGGGUAGGAGUGAAAUCCCGUAAUCCUGGACGGACCACCAAUGGGGAAACCACGUCAAGAGACCGGACCCGACAGUGAGGGACGAAAGCCAGGGUCUCGAACCGGAUUAGAUACCCGGGUAGUCCUGGCUGUAAACAAUGCUCGCUAGGUAUGUCACGCGCCAUGAGCACGUGAUGUGCCGCAGUGAAGACGAUAAGCGAGCCGCCUGGGAAGUACGUCCGCAAGGAUGAAACUUAAAGGAAUUGGCGGG